rnacentral:rRNA from 1 species
AAUGAACGCUGGCGGCAGGCCUAACACAUGCAGGUCGAACGCUCGUAGCAAUACGGGAGUGGCAGACGGGUGAGUAACGCGUGGGAAUCUACCCAUUGGUACGGAAUAACUCAGGGAAACUUGAGCUAAUACCGUAUGUGCCCGAAAGGGGAAAGAUUUAUCGCCAUUGGAUGAGCCCGCGUCGGAUUAGCUAGUUGGUGGGGUAACGGCCCACCAAGGCGACGAUCCGUAGCUGGUCUGAGAGGAUGAUCAGCCACACUGGGACCGAGACACGGCCCAGACUCCUACGGGAGGCAGCAGUGGGGAAUAUUGGACAAUGGGCGCAAGCCUGAUCCAGCCAUGCCGCGUGAGUGAUGAAGGCCCUAGGGUUGUAAAGCUCUUUCGGCGGGGACGAUAAUGACGGUACCCGCAGAAGAAGCCCCGGCUAACUUCGUGCCAGCCGCCGCAGUAA